GGGGAUUUAGCUCAGCGGCAUAAGCACCUGCUUUUGAAGCAGGUGGUCUGAGUUCAAUUCCCAGUACCG
rnacentral:tRNA from 1 species